AAUCAACGCUGGCGGCGUGCCUAACACAUGCAAGUCGAGCGAGAAAAGGGGGGCAACUCCCUGAGUACAGCGGCGCACGGGUGAGUAACACGUGGGUAAUCUGCCCUGGAGUGGGGAAUAACACCGGGAAACCGGUGCUAAUACCGCAUACGAUCACGGAGUCUGCGGAUUUUGUGAUGAAAGGAGCAAUUCGCGCUAGGAGGAGCCCGCGGCUGAUUAGCUAGUUGGUGAGGUAAUGGCUCACCAAGGCAACGAUCAGUAUCCGGUCUGAGAGGACGGUCGGACACACUGGAACUGAGACACGGUCCAGACUCCUACGGGAGGCAGCAGUGGGGAAUUUUUGGCAAUGGGGGAAACCCUGACCAAGCAACGCCGCGUGGGUGAUGAAGUCUCUUGGGACGUAAAACCCUUUCGACGGGGACGAAACCGCAAGGUUGACGGUACCCGUAGAAGAAGCCCCGGCUAACUCCGUGCCAGCCGCCGCGGUAACAC
rnacentral:rRNA from 1 species